rnacentral:tRNA from 1 species
UGGGGAGUGGAGAAGUAGCAACUCGCCAGGCUCAUAACCUGGAGAUCGCUGGUGCGAACCCAGCCUCCCCGA